rnacentral:rRNA from 1 species
GACGAACGCUGGCGGCGUGCCUAAUACAUGCAAGUAGAACGCACAGUUUAUACCGUAGCUUGCUACACCAUACACUGUGAGUUGCGAACGGGUGAGUAACGCGUAGGUAACCUGCCUGGUAGCGGGGGAUAACUAUUGGAAACGAUAGCUAAUACCGCAUAAUAUUGAUUAUUGCAUGAUAAUUGAUUGAAAGAUGCUAUUGCAUCACUACCAGAUGGACCUGCGUUGUAUUAGCUAGUAGGUGAGGUAACGGCUCACCUAGGCGACGAUACAUAGCCGACCUGAGAGGGUGAUCGGCCACACUGGGACUGAGACACGGCCCAGACUCCUACGGGAGGCAGCAGUAGGGAAUCUUCGGCAAUGGACGAAAGUCUGACCGAGCAACGCCGCGUGAGUGAAGAAGGUUGUCGGAUCGGAAAGCUCUGUUGUAAGAGAAGAACGGGUGUGAGAGUGGAAAGUUCACACUGUGACGGUAUCUUACCAGAAAGGGACGGCUAACUACGUG